GCCAAGCGGAGUUCGCAAACUUAGCCACUCGGCCACGGGGCUGGCCCCAGGAAUAUUUUUUGAUGUAACUUCAAAGUUGAAGGUGCCAAGUUGUAAGUUUGCAAACUCUGCUGUGCUAACUGAUGUCGUUCUUUUUGCAAAUAGCAACUUACUAAUGUUCACCUACUUGGAAAUAUGUAGAAUAUUCCUGAGUUGUAGAUGCUUGUGGAUUUCAACUUGGUUAGACUGUGACUAUCCCAGAAAUGUUAAAGCUAGUGAUCGUUUUACCCAUUCAUUUAUUCCUUUAUUCCAGAACUCUCACCUCUCUGACCUGUUGUUUACCUAGCUCUCCAAUGGUUGUGAAGAUUAUUAACAGUGUUUGUAAGAUAUUUUCAGAAACUAGAAAAUAGAAAGUAAAAAGCAUUCCCUGUUACAAUUAUCUACAGGUUAAUCUGAAAUUUAUUGCCCCUUCUGCCUUCAGACCUACUGUAGGACAUGCUGUCCUUUGCCGUUCCACUUGUAGCCAAAUUCAGAGUUUUCCUAACAGGGACAGCUCCCUGUGCCUGAUGCUGUGUGGAAAUCUUAGUCUUCAGCUCCACUCUUAUCCCUCUCAGUUAUUUAUCGGUAUUUUUGAAAAUAUACAUAGCAUCACCCUGUAACAUGAUACCUGGCACAGGGUAGGAAUCCAAUGAAAGUUUCACUCUAAGUGGGAGAGUAGGUUGUUACAGUGUUUUUGGAGGGGAAUUAGAGAGUACUUUAAAAAUUGUAAGUUUGCAUAUCCUUUCCAGCAAUUCUACUUCUAGGAAUUUAAAAGUAGCUGUACUCACGCGUGAGGAUGUUCACAUUGCAGUCUCUCUGUAGCAGAGGACAAAAGUACUGAAAACAACUAAAAGUCCACCAACAUUGGACUCAUAAAUUUUGGUGAUUGUACUGAAUGGAAUAGUAUGCAAGCAUUAAAAGGAAUAGAAUGGAUGUAUGAAUAAAUGGACUGGAAAGCUGAGGGUCAGAGGUCGAUUGUAGAACAUGUAGAGUACGCUGCUUUUACAUGAAAUAGAGGAUAUGCAUAUAGGUACAAAGAAAUCUUUAUAUAAAAUAUACGAGUGAACGUAAGCACUUGGAAAAUAUCUGGAGAAGCACACAAGGAACUGGGGGAAUUGACUUCACUUUUCAUUGCAUGUCCUGCAGUGUUUGAAAUCUCAAGGCGGUGACAAGCCUGCGCUCAUCUGCAUGAGCUGUACUACCGGCCUCCGGCGAAGGAGGGCGCCGUAGCCGCCAGAGUGCUGUUCCCUGAUCGGGCUUCUCUGGCAGCCGGCCUGGUGACGUCAUCAGGCCAGGCGGUGUCGCAUGCGCUGUGGUAGGGAUUUGGGCGCUGCCUGGUUUGCUACGCAGGUUCUUGCGGUUGGGGGUCUUGUUCUGACCCCGAGGGCGCCGGACUGGGGAGUCUGUCAGUCUUGGCGGCAGGGGGGCAUCUUGGGGCCCACAUGAGGCAAUGGCUUCAUGCCCGCCGCGGCCAGGUCCGCGGACCCCUCUUUUCGGACCUUCUUCAGCCAAGAGGAAGGGCAGAAACCACGUUCCCGAAAGAGUUCGGAGAAGAAUCUUGCUCCAGAAGAAUGUUUUCACCCCUUGGAUGUUUCUAGCAAAAUCUGAGAGCAGAAUGAAGAACUUGGACUGAUUAUUGAUGUAACACACCCUCGCCACUAAUACAAACCAGAGGCCUACCUCGGAGAUCUUGCGGGUUCUGUUCCAGGUCACUGAAUAAAGUGAAUAUCGCAAUAUAAACAUUCCCUUUUAUGCCCCCCCUCCCCUGGCUCACCCCCUCCAGGUGCCCUACAAGCCUCCCAAGAUGCGACUCUGGACCCUUGGGCACAUACGUCCUGCCCUCGUGGAACAGCGACCCAGUGCUCACGUGCUCCCACCGCUCUCCUGCCCUGUGAUCGACGCUUCCAGUGGAGUUUUCUUGUGUGCUUUUGGAUGAUGGCGAUGUUUAGAGAGGGCAGAAACAGACCAGGUGGAUUGCGGAGGCCCUGGCAGGCGCCUCAAGUUAAUGUUUAUGAAGAGAUGUUUUUCCAAAGAAAAUAUACAGGUGACCAACAGGCUUAUGAAAAGAUGUUCAACGUGACUAGUUUUUAGGGAAAUGCAUUCAAAACUAAAAUGAGUUAUCACCUCCUCCCCAUCAGAAAGGCUAUUAUUAAAAAAACAAGAAAUAGCAAGUGUUGGAAGGGUGUGCAGAAAAGGGAACACUUGUAUAGUGCUGGUCAGAAUGUUAACUGGUACAGCCACUAUGGAAAGCAGUAUGGAGAUUCCUCAAAAAAGCGAAAAUAAGACUACCAUAUGAUCUAGCUAUUCCACUUCUGGGUAUUUAUCCAAAGAACAUGGAAACACGCUAAUGGGAAAAGAUA